rnacentral:lncRNA from 1 species
CCAGUCACCUCCCAACUCACAGACAUCCCUCCAGGGAUCCACAGGAUCCCUCCAGUGCCCCUGUAAGACCCGUUUGUAUAACCAUUGAGGACAUCCAGGCUAGUCCACUGUUUGGCUUUGACAGCAACAAUGGCAAUGGUCUUUCACUGAGGGCUGCAGCCCCACCAGACAGUCAUCUCCAUGCAGCCAUCUGCUCCACAUCCAGAAUGUAGAAAACUGCAAAGAACAUUGCUCCCACACUAACAAUGAGAAGAGUCAGAUAAUCCUCAACACGCCUGGAGAGGUGAAUCACAGGGGAACAAAGUGAACUGAAUUCCAAAAAGGAUGGGCCCCUUCAAGCAGAGAGAGAGCACAUGAACUGCUUUUUGACAGGUGUCAAAGAAAAAAAUAUUCAAUAACACUUGUGUCUUUUUUGGUUUUGGG